rnacentral:tRNA from 1 species
UGCGGGGUAGAGCAGUUGGUAGCUCGUCGGGCUCAUAAUCCGAAGGACGUUGGUUCAAAUCCAAUCCCCGCAA